UGGUGCCAGGGAGGGUGCGGAGCUGUAGGCACCAGGAAAGACAGCCCUGUCUCAUGGUUCUGCAGGGAGAGAGCACAGGACUCUUGAGGGGCAGGCAUGUGGUUAAUGGGUAACAAAAUGUCUGGGCGCCCCUGGAGCCUUUCCCCACCCUGUGGGGCAGAGGGAAGUGCUUUGCAGAAGGCUUUCCUCUCCUGGUUCUCCCUCUCCAUCUGUUUUGCUUUUUUGGCUCAAUUGCCCCAGAGUUGGGCCUGCUCAUGACCUUGGCUGAUUUCGCAGUCAUUACCAGCUGCUGCCAGAUUUACUGAGGGAAGCUUCGGUUCUCUUCCAGCCAACCCAGGCCUGCUGGUCAGAGCCAAAGGAUCAAGUAACUCCUUCCUCCCAAGUUGGAGCAGGACUCUAUCUCUCUCCCUCUCCUGGAUGGAGGAAGCAGUUUCUCAGGAACUCUCCUGGUGUUGGAGAGCCAAUCUGUGGAGGGGCUAAGUCUCUUCUCUUGUCAGCAGGAAGGUCACCAAAGUUCCAGGCCUGCUGCAAAAAGGGUCCAGCAGCAAAAGUGUUGAGUUGAAGCGAUUUGCCUGGCGGUUGAAGUGAGAUGCCCCAGAGCUCCCGGACUCUGUCACCACCCAGGCCUGUCAGUUUCCACUUUUCCCUCUGUCCAUCUCUUCUAAUGCCUUGGCUUUGGACCCAGAUGGAAGUCUACAGGCAGUGAAUUAUCCAGGAACAUAAGAAAUGGGGCACUUGCCAAAUGCCUCUGAGGCUGAUUAUGCACCUAGCUCCAACCCUAAUCUCUUGGGAAGUCGGGUGCCUUAGAUGAGCCCUGGAAGAUCCUAGAGGUGAUGAGAAAGACCUCCCUGAAGGACAACCAGCUCCCAGACCCUCACUUACACUAUAGCUUCUAUACAGAUAAGGAGUUCAGUUCCUGGGGCUCAGCUGGGUGACCUCAGUAAACAAUUGGGGAUUUAUUUAUGUGUGGCAGCCUCUAAGGUGACUAAAUUUUUCUUUUUCUGAACUAGGUUGUAUAGAAGGUAAUAGCAGUGACCAGACAGUCCAGAGAAUUCUGCCCAGUUGCAAGAUACAAUAAAAAUGUAAAUAAACAUUUUACCUUGUGAA